rnacentral:tRNA from 1 species
GGGUGAGUGGCGGAAUGGCAGACGCAGAGGACUUAAAAUCCUCUGACCUUAACGGUCGUGAGGGUUCGACUCCCUCCUCGCCCA